rnacentral:snRNA from 1 species
GUGCUCUAUUUGGCCGCACAAUAUACUAAAAUUGGAAUGAUAUGAAGAAGAUUAGCAUUGCCCCUACACAACAAUGACACACAAAUUAAUGAAGUAUUCCAUAUUUAA